AUCUGAUUCUUGUAAAAAUUUUAAUGUUUUCACAUAUACCCAUACCGGUAGAAAUCCGUUAAACAAAUAUAGUUAACCAUAGAUAAAAUACUUAAACCUAGUUAAUAAUGUGGUAAAUUGACUUUUUUACCGCUCUUAUUUUAUUUGUGAUGGUAGAAAGGAAAAAAAUAUUCGUUGGAGAUUUUUGGAAGAACAUUUCUGUAUAAUUACAACAAUUAGAGUUUUUGGAGGGAUAUAUUUGUGAUGGAAAAAAUAUUAUUUCACUUAUUUUCUAUUAAAAAAUAAAUGGUGCUUUAAUGGUAACAAAUCAAAGGGAUAAACAUAUGUAUCAUUGGACAUUUGUAAGGAUAAAUAUGAAAAGUUAAACUUUAGAGGGAUAUAUUUGCUAUUCGAUAUAUUUAGCUGUAUGAAGCUAACCCUUUAUGAAAUAUGCUAAUCUUAACUUGGGGGGUCAUCCAAUUCGUGAAAAAAUUGAUUUUUUACAUGAACAAUUAAGUUUUUGUAGAGGGUAUUCUUGUUAGUAGGUAAUCAAGUUUGAUUUUCUGAGACAUACAAGUAAAUGGCUGAUUUUAUGGAGAAUAUUCACGUAAAUGUUUGUGUAUCAUAAUACCUUUGCCCUUUUAUACUUAUCUCCACACAUAGUACAACUAUAUUUCAGCUAAUUUUUGAGUAGUGGUUUUGUAGAACUGGGACAGUGAGACCCAGAGUGGAUUCAAGAAAUCAGACCUAGCUAGCCAGUGUGUAUACAGGUAAUUUAAUUUAAUUUUUGUAGACCCAUCGUUCCAUCAUUUGACACAAGUGCAUAUUUAAAGUAAACUUAUUUUUAACCUAAUGCAUUUUGUGGUUUUGAUAGUCUGUUCAUAAAGGUCUAAACCUUUGUUGUGGAUGUUACUUGAACUUCAUGGUGUUUUGGUACAGGUAUAAGAUUUAUAUUGAUGGCAAGUCGUGGUCGGUGAGCGAGAAGUACAUCUUGGCAUGCGACUCGCCGAUGUUGCUGGUGACGACUCCGUACCAGGACUUCUUCACGCGGGGAUUGAUGCCGGGUCACCAUUACUGGCCGAUUAAACCCGAUCGGAAGUGCCAAUCGAUCAAGUUUGCCGUUGAUUGGGGCAACAGCCACCCAGAUGAGGUAGUCAUACACUUAUUUCAAACUUGAAACAAUAAAUAGCAGAACAGAAAACUUGUUGUAGGAUAUAAUUUUCUAUUUCGAGAAGUAAUAGUCAGAUGUUUGACAAUGAAAGUUUCGGAGCUUCUAUACUAAUGUAAGAUAAGCACUUGCUUUCUGGCCUAAAGCAAAAGUCUCUUCUUGUGCUGCAACUGAGUCUAGAGAACUUGUAGAACAAUUGUUAGCGCUCUACUAAAAAUAUACUUUUGCAUAAGCUCUAGUCAUGCCAAAUAGACUCGAAAGUAUAUGUUUGGUUUGACCUGCUGAAUGAAAAAUUCUAACCCUUUUAGGGCUACCUACACCAAAUCAGCAAGUUUGCGAAUCGCAGCUUGGCCAAACAGGUCCUAUUUUCCAUGGCCAUGUGUCAGCAAAGUUGUUAUCCCGAGAACAAGCCCAUUGAGGAAGAAGCCCUGGGUUCGGUUCCACAGGGAUUUUUUUGGGCCGCGCGCAUCCGACUCAAGCUUAUCAUACCCAACCCCUUAACAUACAGGGCUCAAUGUCAAGUUAGGUGUAGAGAGCUGUAGGUUUGGUGAAUUUGAGGCCUAAUUAGUCUUUGUUUGGGUUUAACUAGUUCGGAUUCGGAUCAGAACCAUCUAAUUUGAUUCAUUCAGUAUAGGGUCAGUAGCAUAUCAACAUAUAUAUAAGUACUUUUGUUUAUGAUCAAUGUCUUAGUUUCUCUUAAUGUACCUCAAAACUACGCAACUCCUAAAUUCCUGAUCCUGUGAAUCGAACAGGCACAAGCUAUAGGAAAGGCGGGAAGCGGCUACAUUCAAGAGGAAGUGAAAAUGGACUACGUAUAUGACUACAUGUUGCACUUACUAACAGAGUACGCAAAGCUCUUGAGGUACAAACCAACUGUGCCCGAGAAGGCGACCGAGCUGUGCCUGGAAUCGUUGGCCUGCGCCGCCGAAGGGCUCGAGAAGACGUUCAUGAUGGACUCAAUGGCGAAAUGGGUCCACGAUUCGGAUCCGUGCACAAUUCCGCCUCCAUUUGACCCUAAAGAGCUAGAAGAGAUGUCUCGGAAAAGAGACGAGGCAAUAAAACAGGUAGAGAUGUGGGAGAAUAGCUAUAGUUAGAGCACAAUUUGGGGAGAAUUGCAAGUUAUAUUGGAAGGAAUAUAUGUAUGUUCAAUGUUUUUUUGAUUCACAAUGUGUAGAGUAACAGUACAAGCUAAUGUGGGUUAACUAUAGUCGAAAAAUACAAAUAAGCUAGUUCAAUGCUUGUCUUAAUAAGCCAAUUUUAAGGCUCACAGGCUAAAUUUCUUCUCAAAGCAUGGAGAAUUGAUGAGUAUUUAGUCCUUGGAGUUUGAAUUGAGUUAAUUUGGGUGACCUGAGUGAGGUGUAGAGAAUAUAAAGCAUUAGAGAUUUGAACCUGUCACGGUUUCGGUUGAGGUGGAAUGAGUUUUACAUGCGGUUAAUGGGACGAGAGCGGGUUUGAAACCCUAUAUAUAUAUAUAUAUAUAUAUAUUUUUCACACAGGUAAGGUAUAGAGUGACGCGCGCUUUAAACCCGCCCCACUAUGAUCCCUACCAAUGUUGGUGGGUCAUCACUCAAUCAUACUCUCCGAGUGAAUUAUUUGGGGGAAAUAAUUAGCUGCUACUCAAUGUUGGUGCAGUGAGUUAAUGAAGUAGAAACAGUCACAUACUCAGAAAAUAGCAGCCCAACUUUUGAGCCUUGGCUUCAAAGGUGAGGAGAUGGCGAACGAAGAGAGGGAUGUUAACUUUUCACUGCCGCAAGAACGAAUGCUUGCUCUUCACACCAACUUGGUUGGCCAAUUCUUAAGCUAGAAGCUAAUAGGAAUUGAAACAAAGUUAGAUCAGAAACUUAGUAUCGAAGCUAAGGUUACAAGUAAAAAAGAAGAUAACACUAUUGUUAGUGAAAGCUCCAAAGUAGCCAAUUUCCUAAAGUUUGUUGAUUGAAUACUAUAAGUGGGAUUAGCUAGCUACGGGCGGUGAUGUGAGACUUAACAACAUUGAUUAUGUGGACCCUCCUAUAAACAGCAUACGCUCAAUUACAGAUUGCCACCUGUGCUUACUCGAUAGUCAUUCUGUUUUAUUUGAUUAAAAAGAAUUACGAGAAAAAUCAAUCGAAUGUACCGCUGAUUGAAACUAUAGCUGAUUUCAACUUUCAUGGUUCGAACAACUACGUACCUGCAAUUUUCGCGCUUUUGUGAAAUCAAAAUGAAAUACUCGAAAUGUUCAGUUAAUGGUGCCUUUAUUUAAACAAGCUAUUGAAAGCAACAACAUAUCUACCUUAUUUUCUUUUGAAUUUUCUAUGGUGGAAAGUGAAAGGUGAUGAUGGUUCAUGAGGGACCAUUUGUUCCAAAGGAGCUAGCAAGAGAGGAGCCCAAGGGAGUAUCAUCUGAAAAAAGGAAAAGAGAUCUUCAGAUGUGUAUUAAUAUAUGUUGUCACAUAAGCACAUGGAUAUGUGUUAAUAGCACAAGAUAAAGUGACAAAUGGGUCCCCUUUUUUUGUGCAUGCCUUGCAUCAUAGAUGCUUGAAACCAAGAUCCAGUGGGUGUAGUAUCACUGUUUAGUUACCAAAAGGGCCCUACAACUUGUCAAUUUUUCUGUCCUGAUCCAGUGGGUGUAGUAUCACUCUCUUUGCUCUCACUUAUGUAUCAGUAUUCUAUUGCUUUCGACUAUAGUUGGUUUGCUUCUAAGUACAGCUAGAAUUACGCGAAGCCGAAAUACUAAUACAUCAUUAUUUUUUUUUAGGAAAGGUAGCAAGCUACCUGCUUCAUUCAUUGAAAGUAUGAACUAGGCUACAGGAGUGAGGCAACCCGGACCUCUAAGAACGAUACAACAGUCAUAAAAAAAAAAAAAAAAAAACCCAAUCUAAAGGACCGGUCGUAAGAGGGGUUCCCAGGACUUCAGAAGCUGCUUAAUUCGUUGUACAACCAAAAUAGGGUCGAAAUGGACGUUUCGAAAGAUCAAAUCAUUUCUGGCCUUCCAAAUGGUCCACCAGCAAGCAACCAAUUCAGGUAAGCUAUUAUGCUUAUUAUGCAUCCCUUUCUUGGCCAAAAUACAUCAUUAUUUAUUUGCAUGAAAUGUUGAGAACCUAAGAUUAUUUUCCUACCUUUUAUAUAUUCGUUUGCUUGUGAUAUGUUCUACAUGGUAUUGACAAGAAGAUCUCUCUCUUGUAAUAUGCAAAAACGGCCACUUGAAGUACCAUUCCAAAGUAUAAGACUCUAUCAUACAUUCAUAAAAUCAGAUCGAAUCAGAGUGGCGUACGGUACAGAAACAUAAACCUGUACUCGUAUCCUAAAUGUCAACAGGUCGUAUUUUUGAUCGAUCGAUCACGUGCCUCUAAAUAUAUGAUCACCUUGGGUUUAGGUUAGGAUUGGGUCAGGACCGGAUCGUGUUUGGAUAGUUGGAGUACGAGUGAAAUCCCUUUAAUAUUUGUGGUGUCCUGGAACACAAUAUCAAACCACCUUUUGGGACAUUAAUAAUGUAACUGCUGCUCUAUAUACGCAUAAAGGCCAACAACAUCAUAAAAUGCAACCAGGAAACAAUGAAUGCAUGAGGACAGAAAGAACCAGACAACAUUAAUUAGGAAUUUGCUGAUCUCCUCCUGACUCUGUUGAGCCAAAUUAAAGGCAAAUGCCUCACAUCACAUGCUUUCACCUCUCUAUAUUAAUAGCACACUCUCUCUCUCUCUCUCUCUCUUUCUCUCUUCAUGGAUGAUAACAUCAUGACCACUACACCAUCUAUUUGGCCUUUCUAUAAGGUGCAGCUUUGUUCAAUAAGAUCGAAUUUUAGUAGCACUAUUAACAGAAACAAUAUGUGAACAUCACUCUUAGUACAGCUUUUCUUUCCAGAAGAAACAGUAAGUUCCAAAUUAGAAGUUCAACUCGUAAUUUCAUUUCAAGUUUCUGCUUUAGCAAAAGUUUCAGACUUUUUUAUUUAUCCAAUAUUUUGCUAAGAUUAGUAUCGGUGCUCCAACGGGGACUACUACGCCUCUCGCAAUAUUGUACAACUAAAGAAGAUCGAACACAACUUUGAUAAUACGCUGCUAUAUUUUAAUUUAAUAAGAGAGAGGUUAACACCACGGAGUUCUUUUAUUUCUUUCGGUGGUUGUGAGAUAUGUAAUGAGCUGGAGAGGAAGCUUCACUGCGACCACGAGAACUUUAUUCUAUUUACUCAUAUUCACAUGAGAGUCUUUCUAUUUUCUAAGCCUUCCAAGUUUUCAAAUUUAAUUUUGGAGCCUUUUUGAUCUGUGAAGUUAAUUUAGAAUAACCUUGGCUUGUUUGGAAAUUGAAAACUUUCUGCUUCUUUCGGAAUUCAAAAGCGAAAAGGUCAUUUUUGUUUUUGGACACAGCAAAAACCUCCACAUUUUAGGUUCUUCAAAGUUAUCUUUGAAUGAAGCAAAGUUCAAAUCUCGAUUUUAGUCGAAAAGAUAUUCUGAAAGCCGAGGCAAAGAAGCACUUAUUAGUCAGAUAUGUCCUUGAUUUGGACUACCAUGAUUUUCUUUAGUAGAUGGGUCACACAUUCUUUGUCACCUAAACAUCAGUUUCAAAUGUCUUCUCAAUUAAGCAUCAUAAGUUUCUUAACUAAAGCUGCAAUAAAUCAGAAUAAUACUAAUUGAAGUUGCAUAAUAUCAAAGUAUCCUUAGUACAAGUUGCUGAAUCAACAUAUAUAGUAUAAUUGACAAUAACUAAUGUUUCAAAUCUUCAUUACUAAUGCUCACAUGAGAUUAUGUCUAAAAUCUAAAAGGUAAACUAAUCCCCAUAUGCGACUUUCAAAAUAUUAACUCAUCUACUAGUAUAUAUCCAUAUAUAUCCGCAAUACUUUCGAAGGUACAUGUAACAAUUUUACUUGGUGUUUUCAUUUAUUUCAUCGAUCUACUAGGUUUCGCGAUCUUUCUGCUGCGAAACUACUCCAUUAUUGAUGGCUGAGAUCAGACAUUUGAAUUUAAGUACUAUGUGCCUUGUACCUUGCAGUUAAUACUUUUACAUAUUUUGUAAUUAUUUAAGAAGAUAUAAGAAGAAAAAACAAAGAGAUGACAUUUGCAAAUCUUGGGGAGAGGAGAUUAUAAAUCAUAAAAUGCACUCACACAACUUUCGACUAAUAACACCAUGUAAAAAGGCAAAAAAAAUAAAAUAAAAUAAAAUAAAAAACACCUAUCACUUUAAUACUUGCACUGCAAAAAUGGUUUAGUUUGCUACAAGGUCAUGUACUAAUGUCAUCUAUGCAUUAGGGAUCAAAUAUAGAGUAACAAAUCAACACACGAUCAUAAUUAAUCCUCAAUAGAUUUGAUACAUUUUUUUUUUAAGUUCCAUCUAAUCAAAUAGCAUCAAUUAAUGUAAUGGGUACUUAAAUUAUUUUAAUUUUGAUCCCCUAAAUUAUUAAGCAAGAUCAUCAUUCAUAUCCGUAUUUGUACAUUAUAUAAGUGAGAGUUGGAUUAUCUACUCAAAUACUAUAGUAACUUUAGAGAAUCUCUGCUCAACAUUGGAGGGGCCAAGCACUAUCAAUCAUAUUACUUGAUUGUGUUGUUUAAGAAAACUAUAAAGCUACUUAUACCUAACAUUUCCCACAAUUUAAAAUGGAAUUUUCUAUGCACAAAAUGCAUAAAUAUCAAGAUUUUAUUUUAUAAAAUGGUUAAAUUAUAGAAAAUCUUCCAACCAAUACCCACUUUUUCACUUUUCCUCCUAUCAUUUAAAAACUUACACUUUGCUCUCUUAAAAAAUAAAAAAUAUUCACUUUGACCCCCGCCGUCAAUGUUCCAUUAGAGUUCCGUUUAUAUUUUAUUUUUUAUACCCAAAAAAACUUUUGAAAUUCUCAUUCACGCCCACACAUAUACCAUCCUCUGCCGCCUCGCCCACCCCUCUGUCCAUGCCCAGACACACGUCCUCGUCCUUCUCUACCGUCGAAUGAGUAAAAUUGGGGAGGAGGAGAUUGAUGAAGAAGAUGAAGAUAAUUUGAUCAUUUUGUCAUAUCGUAUUUUCUUGUGAAUAUUUUUUAAUUUUGAAGAUGAUAAAGUGUAGAUUUUUGAAUAACAGAAAAAAAAUAUGAAAAAAUGAGUAUUGACGUCAGAAUUUUAUAUAAUUUAGUCCUAUAAAAUGCCCGUGCUAAUUGUAACUGUGGUUUUGAGCAUGUUAUCCAAAAGAGAGUUGUGGAACCAACUUUGGGCAUAUAUAGUUUGACAAAGUUUUGCUAACUAAAUUCAAAACUAAUUUGGGCGCGAAUAAUUAUUGCCUAGAUCAUUAACUCAAAUAUAUUUAUUCUAUCUCAUAUUUUAAAUUAAAUCAGUAAACUAGGUGCAAAAAAAAAAAAAAGCACAUAUGUAAUUUCUCCAUCACACAACUUUUUUUUUUUUUUCCUUUCAUUUUUUUUUCUCUCUACAUUUACUCAACAGUCACACAAAAAUACAUGUCAAAAUUAAAAAUUUGAUAGCUACAAGCCUACAAACACAUAAAUCAACCUAUCUUUUCUAGCAUUACGUGUCACUGUAUUUUUUUUUCUCGUAAUUGGAUAUAGAUAUUGCGCAUUAUCCUAGCCAAAUUAAUAUUCAAAUCCUAAUAUUCUAAUUAAGAAAAUAUUCAAAAUAAAAAAUAACAAAAAAAAAAGAAAAAGAAAACGAAAAGGCGACAGGAGUCCAAUGUUCUCUUCCCUCCCCCUCCAUUUAAUUUCGGAGCUAUGAAACAUUCCCCCAUUCACUCCUCUCUCUCUUUCUCUCUCUCUCUCUCUCUCUCUCUCUCCUCUUUUCCCCCUUCCUCUCCCCACCAACUCCACCUCCGCCCCAUGUGGGCGCUCCCUUUCCACCAUUUUCGCCUCUCCCAACCCAUGUUUCCUCCAAGGCACCUCCUUUUUCGCUCCCCAUUUUCCCCACUUCCUUAGUUUUUUGGGGGGGUUUGGGUUUUUGGUUCAGUUUAAUCCAUAAAGGAGCUUCUUUUAUGGGGGAGUUCGAAGCUUCAGUGUAGAGUGGACAUGAGGAGCUCACUUGGGUUUCCGCUGCUGCUACUUCUCGCCAUCAAAUUCGGCGUCCUCCUUGUGCCCACUCACUCCUCUUUAGAUUCCCAGGGUAUGUUACUAUGUUUAAUGUUUUUUGGGUUUGUGGGUUUCGAUUUGGGUUCCGUUUUGGGGGGUGAAUUGGAUGCGGGUUUUUGGAGAUGGGUCGGAAUUUUGGUUCUAGAGGUGAAUUUGUGAUGUGAUUUGCGUUGUUUUCAGCAAUUUCGGCGCUCGCCGCAUUUAAAAGAGCCAUUUUUGAAGACCCACUUGCGGUUCUAUCUGAUUGGAAUGCACAAGGUGGAGAUCCUUGCAAUUGGUAUGGUGUGGUUUGCUCACCAUCUCAGGAUCUAGUGGUUUCUCUGUAAGAAAAACCCUUCCUUUAACUUUAAUACUCACUUUGCCCCAACUCUUACAGAUCUCAAUUAUGCCCUUUUUUGCUCAGUAUCAGUAGUACUGGAUUUAGUUUGGAUCCUUACCUGUACACUGUUUAUUCCUAUAUAUUCUGUUAAUUAUUGUGCUAGUAUUCUUACUUUACUAUUUGAUAGUACUAGAGGUAAUGUAACCCCAUAUAUGACAAAGUGUAAGUGGUGCCAAAGAAGCUUAUGCAUACUAGCAUUAUGUUUUCUGUGUUCCUGAGAAGUUGUAUACUAUUUUUCCAUAUUAAUUAUCUUAUAUCUGAGAAUGGGAUUUGGGUUCUGCAGAAACCUUUCGAGUUCGUCGCUGAAGGGAUUUCUUGCUCCUGAACUUGGACAACUGAGUUCUCUGCAAGAACUGUAUGAUCUGUUACUAAAUACUAAUUCUUCACUUCUUUUUUUUUGGAGCACAUAAUAAUGUAUUUAUAUCAUCCUACAGGCACUUGGACAAUAAUUCACUUCUUGGAACAAUACCUAAAGAAAUUGGCUUGUUGAAGAACCUCACGGUACUCGACCUGAGCGUGAAUUGGCUUACUGGUCCUGUCCCUCCUGAGCUUGGCGAACUGACGAGCAUAACCAUAAUGUAGGAAGCAAAAUGUUUAGUAUAAAUCUCUUCUUCCCCCCUCCCACCCUUCUUCAUUGGCUACUUUUUCUUUUUCUUUUGAUAACUUGUUAUAUUUCUUUUUUAAAAAAUUUUCCUACACAGAAAUCUUCGCUCCAAUGCGCUGACCGGGAGUCUACCGCCCGAGCUUGGUAAUCUUAAUAAUCUUGUCGAGCUACGGAUAGAUAGAAAUAGACUACAUGGGCCAAUCCCUGGAAGCAACAAUUCAAAUGUUCCUACUACCUCAAGCAGCAUGUAAUCUUUUUUUUAUUUUAAAAAUACAUAUAUGCUUUUCUCAAGGGAAAUUGAUAACCCUUUCACUAUUUUUUUUCUUGUGGCAAAUAUCUGUGGCAAAUAUUUCAAAUCUUUGAUACGUAGGUUAGUACUAUGUUAUUAUUUCAGAUUAAUUUUUUAACUGUUACAAUUCAGGUUAGAUCACAGCAAUGGUAAUGGCCUGUGCCGCUUUGCUCGCUUGAGAGUAGGAGAUUUCUCGUACAACUUUUUUGCUGGAAAAGUUCCAGCUUGUCUGAAGUACCUUCCAAGGUAAAUAAAUUCUAUUUUAAGUCAUCUUAGAUAUACUUCAUUUGAAACUCAUCAGUUUCCUCGGAUCUAUAUGCAGGUCGAGCUUCCAAGGAAACUGCUUCCAAGAUGAAUACUCUGUCCUGCAGCGCACUUCUCAAAUUUGCAAUGGUGCCAUUAUAACUUCUCAAGUCACUUAUUUUUAAUGUCUUUAUUGCUUGAGGCAUCUUUAUAUGCCGAAAUCCAGGGACUAGAAUGAACAAUUGCGAAGUCAAUUGCGAAGUCUUCAUUAUAAACAUUUCAAUGACUAGUCAUUGUCCCUCGAAUAUAAACUCCAUGGAACAUUUACUAUUCACAACAACAUGGAACAUUUACUAUAGAAGGCCUAGGGGUUAGGUUAAUGUUAAUUCUAAUGAUCACAAAGGCACCGUAUAUUUGCUAAGUAUUCGAUCAUUCAUCUUAUUUGCAAUCAUGUGGUUUAUUUACUUGUAACAGCUAGAGUUUUAGGUUUUGCACAGGUGCAUUGAGGUCGUUCCUUUUAUGUGAAUAAAUUGAUACGCAUCUAUCAGUAAUACGUGCAUACUGUAUGCAAAUGUACUUCUUCUUAUGCUUAUACUUAAGAGAAAUAAAUUUACAUUUUUACAUGAUGGAUCUCAUAAAUCUACUGUUAUCAUGGAGGAAUUUACUGGUUUUCAGAUUGCUAGUCUCUGAUAGACUGAAAAGAGAAUUUGUUGCCCUUCCUUAGGUUCUUCUGCAAAAAGCCAGCAAGUAGGCAAAGAGAAAUAUAAACAAUCGAACGAAUGGCAUAAGCACCAAAGUCUACAGCAGCCAGAGUGGCUUCUGAUUCUGGAAAUUACUACUGGUGUUCUUGUGGUUGUUUUCGUAAUCACUGGUGCUGCUACUGCAGCUGGAAAUUGCAAGCUAAAGCCCACUGUAAAAAUUCCUUGGAAGAAAUCGAAGAAUUGGAGGGCGGACAUCGCAAUGUCUAUUGGUUAGUACCAAGUUUGUUACUGGCUAUCAAAUUGAGUGCUUCAUCACAAAAUGGCAGCUGAAACUAAUAAAAUUGUACAAAUUUUUGUGCCAAUAGACAGUGAAAUCCUGAAAAACAUCCCGAGAUUAAGUCGGCAGGAACUUGAAGUAGCUUGUGAGGAUUUCAGCAACAUUAUCGGCUCAUCUCCUGAUAGUAUACUAUAUAAAGGAACUAUGAAGGAUGGACCUGAAAUUGCUGUUAUUGCACUGUGCUUCUCUGAAGAACACUGGACGAGCUAUCACGAAUUCUUCUUUCAGAAUAAGGUAAAUUAUUGGCCAAAAUAGCUUUCAAUUAUUUUAUUUUCAUGCCGAAAAUUUAAUUAGGAGAUCUACCUUUCAGUUGGCUGACCUGGCAAGGUUGAAUCACGAGAAUGUAGCAAAAUUGCUUGGUUAUUGCAACGAAAGCGAACCAUUUUCAAGGAUACUAGUCUUUGAAUAUGCAUCUAACGGAACCUUGUAUGAGCACCUUCAUUGUAAGUCAUUUAUACUCUUUUGGCUUAAGCAUACAAAUUCAUCCAAUUAUAGGUCAUUUGGAAACUAGUUCUCUACUUUUUUUUUCCUCCCGAUAUGAACCAUUUACUGAAGCAUUGUACAGUUUCAGAAGAUGCCAUCAGGAGUAAAGUAUAUUUGGGACUAUUUUGAUGGAAUGAUAGAGUAUUCUGAAACUCAUUUUACGGAAAUUGAGGCCUGAUUGUGUUCUCUAAGAUCGUACAACACUAAGUUAGGGUUUCAAAUCCAAAAACUUCAACUUCAGGGCCUAUAUCCAAAUAUCAUAGUAGUUGGUUGGAUUCUUAAAUUUUUGCCUACUCUUUCUUUUGGUAUAUUGGUGCCAUCUUAUUUCGGACCUAAGGAUGCAUAUUACUUUUUCUUUUAGAUGGUGAAGGAUCACAGUUAUCAUGGAUUAGGCGCAUGAAAGUAGCUAUGGGUAUUGCGAAAGGACUAAGGUACCUUCACACAGAGCUGCAGCCUCCGUUCACAAUAGCUGAAUUGAACACAAAUGCAGUGUACAUCACCGAAGAUUUCACCCCAAAGGUUUGCAUUCCAUCAAGUAUAAAUUGUUCUACUUUUUUUGCCUGCUUUGACAUAGCUUCUUUACCAAAUUAAGGAGGUACUGACCCAACUGUUUUAUAAGCAGAUAGUUGAUUUUGAGAGAUGGAAAAUGAUUUUUUCGAAAUAUCAGAAGGGUUCUGCCUGUGUUACAAAUGGAGGUUCUUUUCGUGAUUUUGUGGAUUGCUUAGAGCAAAGGCAUUCGGAUGUCCAAGGCAAUACAUAUGCUUUCGGAGUGAUUUUGCUCGAAUUGAUCAGUGGAAGGCCUCCAUAUUGCAAAGACGGAGGAUGCUUGGAGGAUUGGGUGAGCAUUUUAUCAAUUUCGUACUUUCAAAUUACAUCUUCUGGUCCCAUCUGUGAUAAACCGAGCAUUUCCGUUGUAUAAUUUUAAUACGGUUGAAGCACGUAGUGUAUUUGCAUUUCAAUCUAGUGCAUUUGUUAAAUUUUUCAUCAAAUUUUUUUUUCUAACUCACAUAUUGAUCUUAAACUUGUUACAGGCCAGAGAAUAUCUUCAGCACCCAGAGGAGAUAGGAAAGCUGGUGGAUCCCGAACUGGAGAACGUGAAAGCCGACGAUCUCGCCGUUAUAUGUAGCGUGGUCAGCCUAUGCAUCGAGCCCGACCCUUCCAAGAGGCCGUCGAUGCAAAUUAUCGCAUCAGUUCUGGAGAAUGGGAUCAACCUGUCACCAGCUGCCCUGCUGAAAGAUUCGCCUUUAGCGUGGGCUGAACUCGCCUUAUCGUCGUAACUAAUAAUCCUUCCACAUUGUAAAUUCGUCUCACACGAAAUACCUUCUUCUUACUCUCUUUUUUUUUCCCUUUCUAUUUUUAAUAUUUUCCUCUUUAGUCCUUUAUUGGCCUUGUUGUUUGUACUAAAAUAGCUUGCGACGGUAACAACUGAUGAGUUGAAUGUGUGGCAAAGCUGGGUUUGCUGUAUAAUAAGUUGCUGUAUAAGUUUGAUUGAUCCAUACACUUAACAUUGGUUACAGAAGUUAAGGAAUUGAGAUCUGGUGGCUUCAUCUUCAAUAGUUUUAUUCUCAUUGUCCAUGUGCUGCUGCUGCUGCUAUUAUUUUAUACUACAAUAUCAAGAAAAAUCAAUUAUUGGUGAUCUAAUUUAAAAUUGGGUACUUAUUUAUUUAUAUAUGAAUUUCUUUAUUUAUUUUAGUGGGUCCUCAAUGCUCAAAAUACAGUCAAAAGUGUGCAAAUCAGUUGAUUUAUACAUAUUUCCUUCUACUUUUUCUUUUUCCCCCUCUAGUACAACACGUCUUCUCAAUGAAAAUUGACUUUUAGUAAAAUAAAAAAAAAAUCCAUAAAAAAUGUACCUAUUUCAUCAAGAAUAUUGAAUUAUGGAUAGUAUUUGUAUUAUAGUAAAAUUUGUUUGGAUCCAAAGAAUCUAUUUCAUUGAAUAGUAAUUUAUAUACUAAAAAAAAAAACUCGAUCUGUCUCUGUCGCCCUCAUUCAUAUGGUCAAAAAAUUUGAUUAAAAAGAGGAGCAGGUAUAUAUUAUUGCAUAUUAUUUCUCGUAAAAGCCAAAAAAAUGUAAGAGGUUGACGAAGGGGACGACCAUUUCCUGUUGUAGAGACCAUUCCAACCUUAAGAUGGUUCCAAGUAGCUUCCUCUUGCUCCCCACCACUAUUAUAUAUAUGGUAGGUACCAUUGGACUUAAUUAAAUAAUUAGUCUCUUUCUUAAAAAUUUUUUAAAAAAUAAUAAAUAAUUUCUUUCUUCGUAGCUACUAUUAUCACUGGACUCUUCUUAAUGAGUGUGUUUUGCUAGAGAAUGUUGUUAAAUAUAAAAAUAUUUAAAACACUGUUCUCUAACCGCUUAAGUUUUUAGAAUAUAACGGUUGUUUCACAUAGUAUCAAAACAGGAAGUCCUGAGUUUGAAUCACGCCAGACUCCUAGCAUAUUAAUUUCCUCCCAUUUAAUUCAAGCCCACGUUAUGGGCCGAUUAAAAAGUCUCGAACCCAGACGUGAGGGGGAGUGUUAAAUAUAAAAAUAUUUAAAAUACUGUUCUGUACAACGGUUGUUUCACAAAUGUAAUAUUAUUGUAUAAAAUAUUAUCUAUAAAAAAAUAUUUUAUGUCAAUUUUUCAACAAAUUUCUUUUAUAAUAAUAAAAUUUAAAGUACCAAAUGAGAACUUCUAUGCUUUUUCAGUUUCUUAAGGCCAAAAAGACUAAAUUAGAUUAGAGAAGACAUUGUCACAUCUGAUACCACCAUCGCAAGGACUCUUCCUUAUGAGAAAUUUUGAACUGUAAAACCUAACUUAGCAAGGACAAUUGUAUUAAUAUGCAGGGUCAUUUGCAUAAUUAAAAGAAUGGAAAGGGUUUGCUAAGAUUUAUGAUCAUAUAUAAAGCAAUUUUUUUUUCUCUAAAAAUUUACACCGCUAAAAAAUGGUGUUUCAUACACAUUAAUUCAACAACAGAAAUAAUAAAUGAUGUAGAGACCCAACUGGUGUCAGCUUCCCUGGUCCACCCAAUCGCUUGAUAUGGUAAUGGUACAAGCUAUGACAUGCACAAAAGACUAGUGAUUAAACUUUUUUUUUUCCUACAUAAAUGAAGCAAAAUUGUUUUCUUUGUACACCAAUAAUAGUUUGUGGAGGCAUAUGCUUCAGGGAUCUUCCCACCGAGGGCAUAUGCUUCAGGGCACCUUCCCACUGAUUUUAGGAUAGUCAAAUACGUGGUUGAACUACGUCCAGAAAUGACGGUUUUUGUCUAAACUAAAAUAUUAACAAACUAAAAUAUUAACAAAUUAAAAUAUUAAGCUGGUAGGUUGUUGUUGAAUAUAAAAUUAUAUAAAUACCGUUCUCUAACAGCUUAAGCUUUUAGAGUACAACGGUUGUUUCACAUGGUAUCAAAGCAGGAGGUCCUGAGUUCGAGUUACGCCAGGCUCCUAACAUAUUAAUUUCCUCCCAUUUAAUUCAAGCCCACGUCAUGGGCCGAUUAAAAAGUCUCGAUCCCAGACUCUUAAGCUUUUAGAGUACAACGGUUGUUUCACAAUAAAUAUAAAAAUAUUUAAACACCGUUUUCUAACAUACAAUGGUUAUUUCACAUGGUAUCAGAGUAAGAGGUUAUUUCAUAGUCUAGACAGAAAAGAAUCAUAUAAUCUUUCGAGCCAAACUCGCCACCCCUUCCUGGUCGGUUGAGCGCGUCAAACUCCCGCUAGCCUCUUAGAACCAUAUUCUUUGAUCGCCUGAUCCCUGUCCCUUAGUCAUCUAUCCCUUUUCCCUCUUUCCCCACCGCUCGUUCCUUCUUCGUUUUAUUUUUCUUUCCCUUUUUAUCUCCUUUUCGUCUCUUUCUGUUGUAUCAUUUUUAAGAAAGCUCCAGCUGCUUUCAUCCUGUUUGCUUAGUUUAUUUUGCUUAAUGAAUGAAACAUGUAGCUUGCUACAUUUUCUCAAAAAAAAAAGCAAAGUAAAAUGAAUACCCAAUCAAAGCAGAAUGCUGAUCCAUUUAAAUCGGCAAUCUUUAUCUCAUAUUAGUUGUCAGAUCGUUAACGCUAGUUAUUAAUUCUAAAAAAUUGAGCUGUUAGAAAUACGCAACUAAUUCAUUUAAAGCGUAUAGACAUAGUGUUCAUGGCUCUCUGCGGAUCUCGAUUAUGAUUCGAUCAAAUCAGUCUUACACAACUUCAAAUAUGACUCGACUAAUUCAACCUCACGCCAUUUCGAACAUAUCCGACCCAACCUAAUCUUCUGCCACAGGACUAAUGGUAAUCCAUUUAAACCAACACAAAUGUUGGACCAGCUUAAGAUAAAAAUUAGCCUGAUGCUGGUAUAUUUUUUUUUAUUUUUCAGUUUAAUUUGUGAGCGCAUUCAAAUUCGGAUGGUGAGAGAUCAUGCUAGUUGUGCCCUACAACAAACAGUUGAAAGCGAAAGGCUACCUUUUUAAAAUCUUUUUUGUCUUUUUGUUCGUGGGGUUUGGGGGGUUAGGGGGGGUGAAAGCGAAAGAAAGACAGUUGGGUGGGGCCGAGUUCGGGUUUUCAGAGCCCACAUGAAAUAGUGUGUUCGUUGGAAAAGCCGACUUCGCUACGCGAGCAGGGAAGAAAGCAAACACCGGAAUGAGAACCUCGGCUGCCAGAACAUCAAGGUCCUAUUUCUUCGACAAUAUUCUAGAAAGAGUACGUGGGUCAGUGAAAACAGUUUCUUAUUUAUUAUUAUUUUUAUUUUUUAACUUGUCUAUAAUAAUUCACUAAUUCACUAAUAAAUCUCACAGCUCCUGCAUAUUUCUACCAAUUUAUCAUCUAACAAAUCAGAAGUUAGUUAAUAUUUUUAACUAAAUUUAUUUUUUUUAAAAAAUAAAUAAAAUAAAUAGCAUUUUAUAUUUCUUUCGAAAACAGAUGAAAAGUCCCGGUAGAAGCUUCAAGUUCCUUGUACGUCUUAAACGACAACUUGGGCAACAAUUACUAACCUUUGUAACAAAAAAACCAAUAGUAAUUUUUUUUAAGAAAAAAACAGCACGGGAUUUAAAAUUAAUUUUAUAGCAUAUAAAAGUACUUAAUUCCCGAUCAUGAUGGCAACAAGUACUGUAAAGACAAACCUUAUAUAUUUUAUUUCAUUAUAUAUAUAUAUUUUUUAUUACUUAUUUAUUUUUUUAAGGAAAACUUCAAAAACCCCCCUAGGUUUCACACUUUUUCAUUUUAGUAUCCUAUAGUUUUUUAAAUCACAAGAAACUAAAGUGAUAAAGUGUAAAACCACAGGGUACUAAAGUGAUAAAGUACAAAACCACAGGGUACUAACUUAAUACACUUUAAACCACAGGAUACUUAAGUGAUAAAGUGAGAAACAACGGGUACUAACUUGAUACAUUUUAAACCACAGGAUAUUAAAGUGAAAAAAAUUGAAACCACAAGGGGGGUUUUUAAAGUUUUUCCUUUUUUUAAUUCAAAUAAAAGGAGAAAAUAUUUUGUGUAGAAGUCGCUCCAUAUUAUUAUGAGCUUAUAUCUAGCCAAUUAAAAUAUCUAUUUUUAGAAAAAAAAAUAUAUAAUAAAAAUAUUUUUAUAUAAAAUAUGAUGGAAUAGAUAAAUUUUAAUUAAAAAGGCAUUAUAAUUGAUUGGACCACGCAACAAUAGAAAAUAUGGCUGGAAACCUUUAUUUUUUUUUUUUUAUUAAUAUAGAGAGAGCAAUAAAAGCUGGUUCUAUCAUAUAUCUAUGCCCCGGCCGUGAUGGCUUUGGCGGGAGCUAGGAAGUGCUCGGCCAAUAAGCGCCGUUGGAUCUUCCCUGUGGCAGUCUUGGGAAGCGAGUCGGUGAUGUACACCUUCUUGGGCACCUUGAACGCCGCGAGAUUCUUCCUGCAGUAGCUCACCACCUCCUCCGCCCCGAUCUCCGCCCCCUCCCUCGGAAUCACCGCGCAGUUUAUCUGCAAACCAUUCACCAGCAAACGAACGGACGGCUCAGAUUUUCUUGUUUUUAAUAUAAUAAUAAUAUAUAUAUAAAAUAAUUUCAAAUUCGCAAAAUUUUCUAUCAAAUAAUAAUAAUAAUAAUAAUAAUAAUAAAAGAAAGAAAAGGACUCGCCUCCUCGCCGUAUUUAUCGUCGGGCACGCCGAACGCCACGGCCUGCGCGAUAUUCGGGUGCGCCAGCAGCACCGCGUCCACCUCGAUCGGCGAGAUCUUCUCACCUGCUCACCAGAAUUCGAUGAGAUCAGAUCACUAGAUCUAUUCAUGGCAACUCUCUCAAGUCUCACCUCCGCGGUUGAUGAGCUCCUUGAUCCGGCCCACGAGGCGCAGGUACCCGUCGUCGUCGAGGAAGCCCACGUCGCCCGUGUGGAACCACCCGUGCCGGAACGCCUCCCGGUUGGCCGCCGGGUUGUUCUUGUAGCCGCCGGUCACGUUGGGCCCCCGCACGCACACCUCCCCGGGCGCGUGCGGCGGACGCGGGUUCCCCUCCUCGUCGAGCACCGCCAACUCCUGGCCCACGGCCCGGCCCACCGACCCGGCCUUGUGGGCCCCGUCCUCGGGCAGCGGGUUCGACGUCAUCAGGUGCGCCGCCUCCGUCAUGGCGUACGCCUCCAGCACCGGCGCGCCCAGCGCCGCCUCCAGCCGCGCCAGCACCGCCGGGGCCAGCGACGCGCUGCAGCUCCGCACGAACCGGAGCCGCGGGUAAGCCCCCUCCGGCUCCGGCCGCGCCGCGUGCCGGUCCAGCAGGAUCUGGUGGACCGUCGGCACCGCCGUGUACCACGUGGCGCCCGCCGCGCGCAUCUCGCCCCAGAACGCCGACGCCGAGAAGCGCCCCGCGACGGGGAGCGCCGCGGCGCCGCCCGCGGCGAGCGAGCUGAGCAGCGCCGCGACGAGCCCGUGGACGUGGAAGAGCGGGAGCACCACCACGGUCGCGUCCGACUCGCUGAGCCGGUACACGGACCGGAUGUUGCUGACCGACGCGGCCAGGUUGAGCUGGGUGAGCGGGACCCCCUUGGGUCGGCUCGUCGUGCCCGAGGUGUGGAGGAAGAGGGCCACGUCGGAGGGCUCGUUGCCGAACAGGGCGGCCUCCGGGUCGGACCGGGCCGGGAGGGAGAGCCGGACCGGCCCGGCCGCGUCGGCGAGCGCGGCGGUGGCGCGGGGGAUCCCGAGCUUGGACGCCGCGGCCUCGGCGGCGGCGUUGCCCUCCGCGUUUGUCAACAGGAGGGUCGACUCGGAGUCGGAGAGGUAGAACUCGAACUCCUCCGCCGUGUACGCCGAGUUCAGCGGCGCCGCCACCGCCCGGGCCCGUAUCACCGCCAGGAACAUGAUCACAUACUGCACGGAAACCCAAGCAGAUACUCAAUAACCUUUUUUUUUUCUUUUUAAUAUUAAACUUUAAUAUCAAUUUAAUAUAAAUAUAUGUAAAAUUUUAUUCUAGCGAAAGAAAAUUAAAUAAGACUAGAAAUCUGGAAGGAAGAAGAAAAAAAGGAUAGGCGGUGGCAGGGGGGACCUCGACGGUGUUGGGGAAGGUGAGGGCGACGACAUCGCCCGGGCGGACGCCUGCGGCAGCAAUGGCGGCGGCGGCGGACUCGACGAGGUCGUGGAGCUGCGCGUGCGUGAGAUCGAGCUUGCCGGGGACGAGGAGGGCGCGCCGGCCGGGGAAUUUCUCCGCGGCCUCCUUCAGAAGCCCAGUUAGGGUGAGCCCUUCCUUGUUCGCCAUUUUCCUUAUAUUUUUCUUUCUAUUUUUUUUUUAAAAAAAACCUAUAAACAAAUUGUGGUAUGCAGCAGAGCGGAAAGAAUUGAGGAGUAGGAUGAUAUGGUUUGGUAUUUAUAGGCAGUUAAGAAAGUAAAGUCACAGGGGAACCGACGACGAGUAUCUCCUGCUGAUCCGCGUGUAUAAUAUAAUAUAUAUAUAUAUAUAUAUAUAUAUAUAUAUAUAUAUAUAUAUAUAUUANUUUAUGUGCACGUAUCUAGUAUUUUAAUUUAUAGUGAUAAAUUUAAUAAAUACUGGCCAAAAUUUUACUGUUGUUGUAAAUUACUAUAAUUUAUAUGCUUUUUGAUAUAAAAAUACUUUAAAUAUUAUUAUAAAGAAAUAAUUUCGAUGUGUACUUUUUCUUCGAAGGAGGGGACUUGGCCGUGCUGCGACGCGUGCGAGGGAUGGGUGAGCAGUGAUUCCCGGGUAGUUGGCGCUCGCGCCACCUCCGGGCCCGCGAGCUGCUGCCACGUGUGCGUCCCUUCGCGGCCUGGAACGUGGAAAGUCGUACGUGCACCUGGUGCGCCAUUACGCCCUGUGUACCGCCCUUCUUAAUCUCAGCUGUUAGUCCUGCAGUAUUUUCAAUUGCACCGUUAGUUAGUUCUUAAUUUUGGGACGGGUUUUAUUUUCGAUCUCUAAUUUCAAAGCUCGUAAUUUCAAACCUUGCAAAAAGUAUUUCAUUUUGAUCCUUUCCCUUGUUAAUUAUUUAUUAAAAAAAAAUUACUUUAGGGGCAUGAUACACAUCUUUAUUUUCACGUGAUCUUGCAUCCUGUUCUAAUCCUAUUGUUUACCAAGUUGCAAUCUAACGGAUAUGAAGCAAUGAACUCAUGAUGUAAGUCAACAAAGAAAAGAAUUUCAAAAGCAUGCAAAUUACUUGUGAAGCGCUGAUAGAAAAUCGUGGUGCAUGGGGUAUACUAAUACACUGAAUCUACAGAAAUCCUUGCAAGUGGAGUGGUGGCAUUAUCUGGAGCAGGGAAGAUUGAUUUUUUUGGAUUCUGGCUGCUUCUGGACGCGGGCGCUUCGUUUUUCUGUUGCAACCUCCACCACUUGUACCUUUUCUAGCUUUUUAAUGAAAAAGAAGACAAUCCAAUGAUGUUAUUGGCGCAUCCGGAGAUAGGACCAGGCUAGAAUACUGUUAAUAAUAAAUUAAUUAUUUAUAUUAUUAAAUUUUUAAUUUUUGGAUGAAGCGAUAUGCGCGGUUGGAAUAAUAAUAAUUUUCUAAAGUUGAGUGGAUAGUUAGUUCAACAAUAUAAUUUAACGGAUAAAAAUGAUCAAAAUGAUAAAUCUAACGGCAGAAAAUUUGGUAACACCAAGUGUUUGGUGUCAUCGAUAGCCGGACUUCUGAAGAUAAAUAUAAAUUUUUGUAUUUUUAUUUAUUCAAAGGUUUUAAAAGUCAAAUAUAUAUAUAUUCUGAAAUGCACGAGCCGAUCAUAAUUGAGAUUAUAUCUGAUUUGCUUGCCAACGUGUCCGACUAGAUUAAAUCGGGUCAUGUGGUGUUCGGUCCAGUCGGGUUCGACUAGAGUUCGGGUGAUGUCCAAUGUUAAGUUACCUGAUAACUGUGUAUAAGGGCUACUUUAGCUAGAGCGUUACUCUUGAUACAAAAUUUUCUAUAUCGGCGGCGUGCUUCGUGUAGAUGUAGUUCUCUGAGUCGUUUUAGUAAACUCCUAAUGGCCUCUGGAGUCUACGAAAGGCUACGAUUGGAGAGACGACACCGUAACUUUCCCAACCCAACAUUGUCGUCUAUUCUACGCUACUAUUUAACAUAAUUGUUACAUCCUGCUUUGAACUAUUGUCAUGAUACGUCACCAUUCCAAAUUCUCAAUUAUUAAUUAUGGCUCCAAUGGAACUCUGAGCUAAUUAAUAUAAUAUAGACAAUUUAGGAUUAAUAUUCUCUAACGAUGCUUCCGCUACCGCUAGGCACACCAAAAUAAUACAUAAUUGAGUGUUACAACUAAUGCACGCCCAAACGAGGCUGAUCUGAACUAGGCAAACUAAAAACAAGUAGAGUCAAAAGUUAAUCUAAUGGCAACUUGGUAAUUAAUUCGUACACCUUCUUGUGUAGGAAAAGAGCGGUAGCGACAAGCCUUGUGUUAUCAAAUUGAAGCUCCGUGUGCUUUUGCAAUUUAAAGCUGUGUCUCAAUUGUCUCGUCUUUUUUUGACAAAAAGUGAUGAUGCGCGAAUUGUUCGAGCAAAUUCCUUUCUCCGAUCACUCAUUAGUUUCGACUCAUGGGAUUGUACGAUGGCUGUGAAUGAAGCUAUAGUUAUCGGCAUGGAAAAUUUCCUUAUAUUGGAGCCAUUCUGCAUUACACUAAGGAUGCGUUUGGUUUGGUUCGCAUUAUGAAAGAUUAUUAGAAAUUAAAAAAUAUUCGAGAAUUUUAUUCCUAUUUAUCUUAUUACUAAGAAUGUUAAAUUUCUGUAUUUGAUUCGUACGGCCAUAUUAUUUAGCUAUGCGAUUUAAGAUUACAAAAAAUAUACUAUUGAUUUAUUUAUUUAUUUGUAGAUAAUGCUAUAAAAAAUUUCAACAUCUUUUUAGAAAAAAGAGAGAGAACAUAAAUUAGAAAAAAAGAGUAUAAUUAAAAAAAAUAGAAAGAGAAAUAGAGUCGAAAUUAGGAGUGAGAGAGUUGAGAUUUUAGAAAAAGUGGGAGAGAGAAAGCCUAGUUUAGAGAGAGAAAAAGAAUUGAAGUUUAAAGAGAAAAAUAUAAGUUUAGAGAGUGAUAUGAGGUUAGAAUGUAAAGAAAAAUAAUACCAACUAGUCGGCGGGUAGAGAGAAAAAAAAAGAUUAGACAUAUUAUAAUUACUCCAAUCCAUUAAUAUGAGGAUACUCAUCAUCCCUCAAGGAAAUGAGAUUAGUACUUUGGGAUGAAUUUCAUUCCCAAGUAAUCUAAUAUUACCAACUAGAUUACUUAGUUCAUUUAGCCAAACACCGUCAUAUUUUUUUUAUUCUUAUUAGAUUUCUAGAAAUCUUUAAAAGAUAGCGCGAACCAAACGCACCCUAAUGCAGAUGCCACAUAGAAAGUUUCUGCUGAUGAGUAGUGGAAUAUUCAUUCCAUGUGUAGAAAUUUUUUACACAUAAAAUUGUAUCUAAUCAAAACGUGCAUUGAAACCACCUGCACCCUGGGAGAGAUUUGAGUUUUAUUCUAAUUCCAAUCCCAGCAUAUAAUGAAAUGUCUAGUCUAGAAAAGAAAGGGGGGAAAAAAGAAAAUCCAAAAAGAUAUUUGAAUACAUCUGCAGCUAGGCCUGCUAAUGAGCCGAAUAUUGGGGCCCAUUAGACUUCAUUCGUCCCCUGCCGUGGAAGUGGGCUGGGCUAGGACACGGUCCACCGCAUCAUCCGUGCACCACCAAAGUUUCACAAAUUAUUUUAUUUUUUGCUUUCAAUUUUAUUUUUACUUUUAAUUCCUAUUAUAUUUUAUGUUUGUUGCAGAGCGUGCAUAACAUUUAAAUGGAGAUGAGAAAAAGAGCCCAUGCCUACUAAAGAGAAAGAUGUUGGACGUAACGAGUAUCUGGUCUCAGUAUUCAAUAAUUUAUUUAUAUCAAACUAGUAUUAUUGUGCUAUACAAAUACAAGGAAAUGAACAGUUAAAGUGCAAAAUAUUUAUUAUUGUAUUUUUUAUAUAUAACUUAAUUGUUU
rnacentral:lncRNA from 1 species